GGGGAUAACGUUCGGAAACGGACGCUAAUACCGCAUACGUCCUACGGGAGAAAGCAGGGGACCUUCGGGCCCUUGCGCUAUCAGAUGAGCCUAGGUCGGAUUAGCUAGUUGGUGGGGUAAUGGCUCACCAAGGCGACGAUCCGUAACUGGUCUGAGAGGAUGAUCAGCCACACUGGAACUGAGACACGGUCCAGACUCCUACGGGAGGCAGCAGUGGGGAAUAUUGGACAAUGGGCGAAAGCCUGAUCCAGCCAUGCCGCGUGUGUGAAGAAGGUCUUCGGAUUGUAAAGCACUUUAAGUUGGGAGGAAGGGCAGUAAAUUAAUACUUUGCUGUUUUGACGUUACCGACAGAAUAAGCACCGGCUAACUCUGUGCCAGCAGCCGCGGUAAUACAGAGGGUGCAAGCGUUAAUCGGAAUUACUGGGCGUAAAGCGCGCGUAGGUGGUUAGUUAAGUUGGAUGUGAAAUCCCCGGGCUCAACCUGGGAACUGCAUUCAAAACUGACUGACUAGAGUAUGGUAGAGGGUGGUGGAAUUUCCUGUGUAGCGGUGAAAUGCGUAGAUAUAGGAAGGAACACCAGUGGCGAAGGCGACCACCUGGACUGAUACUGACACUGAGGUGCGAAAGCGUGGGGAGCAAAC
rnacentral:rRNA from 1 species